rnacentral:rRNA from 1 species
UACGUAAGGUCCGAGCGUUGUCCGGAAUCAUUGGGCGUAAAGGGUACGUAGGCGGUUAGAAAAGUUAGAAGUGAAAGGCUAUAGCUCAACUAUAGUAAGCUUUUAAAACUGCUCAUCUUGAGGUAUGGAAGGGAAAGUGGAAUUCCUAGUGUAGCGGUGAGAUGCGCAGAUAUUAGGAGGAAUACCAGUGGCGAAGGCGACUUUCUGGCAAUCAUCAGACGCUGAGGUACGAAAGCGUGGGUAGCAAACAGG